rnacentral:rRNA from 1 species
UUGGUGAACCAGCGGAGGGAUCAUU